UAGGCGAACGGGUGAGUAACACGUGGGCAAUCUGCCCUGCACUCUGGGACAAGCCCUGGAAACGGGGUCUAAUACCGGAUACUGAUCCUCGCAGGCAUCUGCGAGGUUCGAAAGCUCCGGCGGUGCAGGAUGAGCCCGCGGCCUAUCAGCUAGUUGGUGAGGUAACGGCUCACCAAGGCGACGACGGGUAGCCGGCCUGAGAGGGCGACCGGCCACACUGGGACUGAGACACGGCCCAGACUCCUACGGGAGGCAGCAGUGGGGAAUAUUGCACAAUGGGCGAAAGCCUGAUGCAGCGACGCCGCGUGAGGGAUGACGGCCUUCGGGUUGUAAACCUCUUUCAGCAGGGAAGAAGCGAAAGUGACGGUACCUGCAGAAGAAGCGCCGGCUAACUACGUGCCAGCAGCCGCGGUAAUACGUAGGGCGCAAGCGUUGUCCGGAAUUAUUGGGCGUAAAGAGCUCGUAGGCGGCUUGUCACGUCGGUUGUGAAAGCCCGGGGCUUAACCCCGGGUCUGCAGUCGAUACGGGCAGGCUAGAGUUCGGUAGGGGAGAUCGGAAUUCCUGGUGUAACGGUGAAAUGCGCAGAUAUCAGGAGGAACACCGGUGGCGAAGGCGGAUCUCUGGGCCGAUACUGACGCUGAAGAGCGAAAGCGUGGGGAGCGAACACGAUUAGAUACCCUGGUAGUCCACGCCGUGGG
rnacentral:rRNA from 1 species